rnacentral:rRNA from 1 species
UACGGGAGGCAGCAGUGGGGAAUAUUGCACAAUGGGCGCAAGCCUGAUGCAGCCAUGCCGCGUGUAUGAAGAAGGCCUUCGGGUUGUAAAGUACUUUCAGCGGGGAGGAAGGUGUUGAGGUUAAUAACCUCAGCAAUUGACGUUACCCGCAGAAGAAGCACCGGCUAACUCCGUGCCAGC